rnacentral:rRNA from 2 species
UAUACUGCAGUCGAGCGGACCGAUGGGAGCUUGCUCCCUGAUGUCAGCGGCGGACGGGUGAGUAACACGUGGGUAACCUGCCUGUAAGACUGGGAUAACUCCGGGAAACCGGGGCUAAUACCGGAUGGUUGAUUGAACCGCAUGGUUCAAUCAUAAAAGGUGGCUUUUACUUCCCAUUAACGAAUGAACCCGGGGGGAAUAACUUAUUUGGGGAGGAACGGGUUCACCAGGGCAACAAUCCGAACCCAACCUGAAAGGGGGAUGGCCCACCUGGGAACGGAAACCGGCCCCAAACCCCAACGGAAGGCACAAUAAGGAAAUCUUCCGCAUGGAACAAAGUCCUAACGAACCACCCCCGGGGAGUAAUGAAGGUUUCCGAAUCGAAGAUUUGUGGUAAGGGAGAACCAGUACCGGUCGGAUUAGCCGGACCCUGGAGUUCCCUACCCAAAGCCCACGCUUAAUACUGCACACACCCCAA